rnacentral:rRNA from 1 species
GAUGAACGCUGGCGGCGUGCCUAAUACAUGCAAGUCGAGCGAACAGAUAAGGAGCUUGCUCCUUUGACGUUAGCGGCGGACGGGUGAGUAACACGUGGGUAACCUACCUAUAAGACUGGGAUAACUUCGGGAAACCGGAGCUAAUACCGGAUAACAUUUGGAACCGCAUGGUUCUAAAGUGAAAGAUGGUUUUGCUAUCACUUAUAGAUGGACCCGCGCCGUAUUAGCUAGUUGGUAAGGUAACGGCUUACCAAGGCGACGAUACGUAGCCGACCUGAGAGGGUGAUCGGCCACACUGGAACUGAGACACGGUCCUGACUCCUACGGGAGGCAGCAGUAGGGAAUCUUCCGCAAUGGGCGAAAGCCUGACGGAGCAACGCCGCGUGAGUGAUGAAGGGUUUCGGCUCGUAAAACUCUGUUAUUAGGGAAGAACAAACGUGUAAGUAACUGUGCACGUCUUGACGGUACCUAAUCAGAAAGCCACGGCUAACUACGUG